rnacentral:misc_RNA from 1 species
UAAGGUCAAGGGCAGCCCUCACGGGUUGUUCCUAGCCUCACCGUGUCUACCUACUGUCGUUGCUUUGGCGGGUCGUCUCACGACCACGGGCCCCGGCUCGUGCGUGCCCGCCAGAGGACCAAACUCUGAAUAUUAGUGAUGUCUGAGUACUAUAUAAUAGUUAAAACUUUCAACAACGGAUCUCUUGGUUCU